ACCAGCCCAACUCAAAACCAAACCGCCGCAAAAUUUUCUCCGAUCCCAUUUGGGAGUCAUCGUCGCCGCCGCCGCCGCCGCCGCGAGAGGGAUCCGAUCGCCGGUUCAUGGCUGGUGCAGCGGUGGAAAUGGGGCGAGGUGCCGGCGCCGGGAGCGUUGAACGCAUCGAGUGUCUCCUCCUGGCGUGGGGGUGGACACCAGCACAACCUCAAGUUGGAAGUGACAAUGUGAUGCCGCAAUCACGAACACAAGACACGUUGAUAAGCCUGCCGUUCUGAACGAAGGCAUUUGUAUGAUCCAAAUGUGAUCAUUUAAGUCAUUUAUUGCAAGGUAUAUCGUCCCUUGCUUAUCAAGGUGUAUCUGUGUAUGUUUUUAGCAAAUGGUUAAUUACAUACCAGUUUAGAUUA